AAGUCGUAACAAGGUCUCCGUUGGUGAACCAGCGGAGGGAUCAUUACAGAGUUGACCACUGCGUCGUGGCUCUGCCAACCCCGCGAACCUUACCCCUUGCUGUUGCCUCGGCGGCGGGCGCCUCAGCGCGCCCACGCCGCCGACGGCCCCAAAACAAAACGCACGUACCGUCUCGGCGCGCCGUCUGAACAGAAACAUAAAACGAGUAAAAACUUUUGGCAACGGAUCUCUUGGCUCUG
rnacentral:misc_RNA from 1 species